AGUGAACGCUGGCGGUAGGCCUAACACAUGCCAGUCGAACGGCAGCACAGUAAGAGCUUGCUCUUACGGGUGGCGAGUGGCGGACGGGUGAGGAAUACAUCGGAAUCUACUUUUUCGUGGGGGAUAACGUAGGGAAACUUACGCUAAUACCGCAUACGACCUACGGGUGAAAGCAGGGGAUCUUCGGACCUUGCGCGAUUGAAUGAGCCGAUGUCGGAUUAGCUAGUUGGCGGGGUAAAGGCCCACCAAGGCGACGAUCCGUAGCUGGUCUGAGAGGAUGAUCAGCCAGACUGGAAGUGAGACACGGUCCAGACUCCUACGGGAGGCAGCAGUGGGGAAUAUUGGACGAUGGGCGCAAGCCUGAUCCAGCCAUACCGCGUGGGUGAAGAAGGCCUUCGGGUUGUAAAGCCCUUUUGUUGGGAAAGAAAAGCAGCAGGUUAAUACCCCGCUGUUCUGACGGUACCCAAAGAAUAAGCACCGGCUAACUUCGUG
rnacentral:rRNA from 1 species